GACGAACGCUGGCGGCGUGCCUAAUACAUGCAAGUCGAACGCAUUUUCUUUCACCGUAGCUUGCUACACCGAAAGAAAAUGAGUGGCGAACGGGUGAGUAACACGUGGGUAACCUGCCCAUCAGCGGGGGAUAACACUUGGAAACAGGUGCUAAUACCGCAUAAUUCCAUUUACCGCAUGGUAAAUGGAUGAAAGGCGCUUUUGCGUCACUGAUGGAUGGACCCGCGGUGCAUUAGCUAGUUGGUGGGGUAACGGCCUACCAAGGCUGCGAUGCAUAGCCGACCUGAGAGGGUGAGCGGCCACACUGGGACUGAGACACGGCCCAGACUCCUACGGGAGGCAGCAGUAGGGAAUCUUCGGCAAUGGACGCAAGUCUGACCGAGCAACGCCGCGUGAGUGAAGAAGGUUUUCGGAUUGUAAAACUCUGUUGUUAGAGAAGAACAAGGAUGAGAGUGGAAAGUUCAUCCCUUGACGGUAUCUAACCAGAAAGCCACGGCUAACUACGUG
rnacentral:rRNA from 1 species